rnacentral:lncRNA from 1 species
GCUAGGCGUCACUGGUGGAUUGUGGGAACCAAUAGAAAUAAUUAUUAACAAUUAAUUAUUCUAUUAGGGUAGAGUCAAAAGAGUUUGAGCCAUCGAAAGGAGUUUCGAUGAUGAUGUAGAUGGAGAUCUCAUCAUAUCUCACUACCAGACAGAAUUGAACCUAUUAGGUCACACACAUAAGAAAUCGCGCAUGAUCGAUAUUUAGGAGACGAUAAAAGAAGUUUAUCGGAUGGAUUAAUUAUAAUUAUAAUAUAGUUAAAUACUAAAGUUUACUAAUUUAUUAGUAAAAGGACUAAUUUGCAAUUGUUGUAAAUUAGAGGUAUUUAUGUGUAAAAGUUGCAUGGUGUAUUUACUAAUCGUUAGUAAAUAAUAUGAGGACUUAUGUGUAAAUGUUACACACGAAUCGAAUUAGAAUUAGGAUUCGGAAUUCGGUUAAUAUCAUAACAAACUUGCGGGUUGAUGGAUAAUCAAAUCGGAAUAGGAUUUCGAUUAGGAUUACGUUAGGGUUUUCUCAUUAUAAAUAUAUGUCAUAUGACAUAUUAAAAUUAAUGAAAAAUUAAGUAAAAAGGAAAAAGAAAACCCUAGCC